rnacentral:snoRNA from 1 species
UUUACAAAAUAAUAGCCAUUAUAGUCUUUCAGUGAUAUGAGCAGUUAUACACAUGGGAUAAAAAUAAUACUGGGCCAUUGUAAAUGGAGGUGAAGUCACCAUUUCAUCUCCAUGGUCUAGACACUG